CAGGAAAAGGAUUUAAGUCCUACCUUAAGUUUCUUCGUAAUUCUAAUUACUUCACAAAACUUAAGAGCUAUUCAAAUAAGGUACAGCCUAUUUGAAACAGGAUACAACCUACAACAUUGGGUAAUGACUUCUGCUUCAUAAUUAAGUGGGCCUAAGAGCAGCCACCUUUAAAAAAGCGUUAAAGCUUUAUUAUACUAGCACAAUAAUUAUAUUAAUCCCCCAAAACCCUUAUCCCAUACUGAGUGACUUCAUAAUAUUAUGAAAAACCAUAUGCUAGAACUAGUAACAAGAAGAAGACCUUCUCCAAAAUGUACGUAUAGGCCAAAAUGAACAACUCAUUGGCAUUUACCGCUUAUGAACUAACAGUAGUAACUCAACAAGAAAACUCUACUAUCCAUAACGUUAACCUUACACUAGCACAUUCCCGGAAAGAUUAAAAGGAAGGGAAGGAACUCGGCAAAUAAUAACCUCGCCUGUUUACCAAAAACAUCGCCUCCUGAAUAAUUAUAGGAGGUCCAGCCUGCCCAGUGACAAAGUUAAACGGCCGCGGUACCCUAACCGUGCAAAGGUAGCGCAAUCACUUGUUCUUUAAAUGAGGACUAGUAUGAAUGGCAUCACGAGGGUUAUACUGUCUCCCCCACCUAAUCAGUGAAACUGAUCUUCCCGUGAAGAAGCGGGAAUAGAAUUAUAAGACGAGAAGACCCCAUGGAGCUUUAAACUCAACAUCAACUGCCCUCUAAAUAACUUAUCAACCAUGCAGAUCUGACAGUUAGUUUUCGGUUGGGGUGACCGCGGAGUAAAACAAAACCUCCACGAUGAAAGGAAUUAACCUCCUAAUCUAAGAGCUACAGCUCUAAGAAUCAACAAAUUGACAAAACUUGAUCCAAAUAUUUUGAUCAACGAACCAAGUUACCCUGGGGAUAACAGCGCAAUCCAUUUCAAGAGCUCAUAUCGACAAAUGGGUUUACGACCUCGAUGUUGGAUCAGGGUAUCCCAGUGGCGCAGCCGCUA
rnacentral:rRNA from 1 species